rnacentral:rRNA from 1 species
GCCAGUUCAUGCUUUUACAGUAUGAAAAUUGGUGAUUUAUAAUAACUUAGCAAAUCGCAAAGUGAAAACAGGCGAUAAAUCAUUCAAGUUUCUGACCUAUCAGCUUUCGACGGUAUGGUAUUGGCUUACCGUGGCAGUGACGGUUAACGGGGGAUUAGGGUUCGAUUCCGGAGAGGGAGCCUGAGAAACGGCUACCACAUCUAAGGAAGGCAGCAGGCGCGCAAAUUACCCAAUUCUAACAGUUUGAGAGAGGUAGUAACAAGAAAUAACAAUACAAGGCAGUUAAAAUGCUUUGUAAUUGGAAUGAUAGAAAUUUAAACCCUUUUUAAAGUAUCAAUUGGAGGGCAAGUCUGGUGCCAGCAGCCGCGGUAAUUCCAGCUCCAAUAGCGUAUAUUAAAAUUGUUGCAGUUAAAAAGCUCGUAGUUGAAGUUCUGCUGAAAGUAACCGGUCUGCUUUUAAUAAAAGUGGUAUCUUGGUAUGUAUUUAGCAAUGAUGUCCUUUGAAGUGUUUUUUACUUUAUUGUAAUAAAGCAUAUUCAGGACUUUUACUUUGAGAAAAUUAGAGUGUUUCUAGCAGGCUGACGCUUUGAAUACUGCAGCAUGGAAUAAUAAAGA